CCGACCAACAGUGCAAGAGGGUUCCCUUUUCUCCACACCCUCUCCAGCAUUUGUUGUUUGUAGAUUUUCUGUUGAUGCCCAUUCUAACUGGUGUGAGGUGAUACCUCAUUGUAGUUUUGAUUUGCAUUUCUCUAAUGAUUAGUGAUGUUGAACAUCCUUUCAUGUGUUUGUUGGCAAUCUGUAUAUCUUCUUUGGAGAAAUAUCUAUUUAGGUCUUCUGCCCAUUUUUGGAUUGGGUUGUUUGUUUUUUUGUUAUUGAGCUGCAUGAGCUGCUUGUAAAUUUUGGAGAUUAAUCCUUUGUCAGUUGCUUCAUUUAUAAAUAUUUUCUCCCAUUCUGAGGGUUUUCUUUUGGUCUUGUUUAUGGUUUCCUUUGCUGUGCAAAAGCAUUGAAGUUUCAUUAGGUCCCAUUUGUUUUUUUUUUGUUUUUAUUUCCAUUUCUCUAGGAGGUGGGUCAGAAAGGAUCUUGCUGUGAUUUAUGUCAUAGAGUGUUCUGCCUAUGUUUUCCUAUAAGAGUUUGAUAGUUUCUGGCCUUACAUUUAGGUCUUUAAUCCAUUUUGAGCUUAUUUUUGUGUAUGGUGUUAGGGAGUGAUCUAAUCUCAUACUUUUAUAUGUAUCUGUCCAGUUUUCCCAGCACCACUUAUUGAAGAGGGUGUCCUUUCUUCACUGUACAUUCCUGCCACCUUUGUCAAAGAUAAG